ensembl:snoRNA SNORA73 Small nucleolar RNA SNORA73 family
UCAGAAUUUUCAUAAAAAUCAUGCAAGUACUCCAUCCAGGUGGCAUAGAGGAACAAAGGGCUCUGCCCCUUUCCACAACUUUGGAGAUGAAGCUGGGCUUUGUGUCUGCACCUUUAUAUUCCUACAACUUCUCAGAGUCUUAUGGACUGAGGAUACAAACCAUGCAGGAAACAAAG